rnacentral:rRNA from 1 species
CGCGGUAAUACGGAGGAUCCAAGCGUUAUCCGGAUUUAUUGGGUUUAAAAGGGUGCGUAGGCGGGAUAAUAAGUCAGUGGUGAAAGCUCACAGCUUAACUGUGGAACUGCCAUUGAUACUGUUAACCUUGAGUGUGUUUGAAGUGGGCGGAAUGUGCAGUGUAGCGGUGAAAUGCUUAGAUAUUGCACAGAACACCAAUUGCGAAGGCAGCUCACUAAACCAUAACUGACGCUGAGGCACGAAAGUGUGGGGAUCAAACAGGAUUAGAUACCCUGGUAGUCCACACUGUAAACGAUGAUUACUCGCUGUUUGCGAUACACAGUAAGCGGCUAAGCGAAAAGCGUUAAGUAAUCCACCUGGGGAGUACGCUCGCAAGAGUGAAACUCAAAGGAAUUGGACGGGGGCCCGCACAAGCGGAGGAGCAUGUGGUUAAUUCGAUGAUACGCGAGGAACCUUACC